GAGGCAGGUGGUCUCGUUUGUCUGGGGUGAAAUCCCUGAGCUUAACUCAGGACGUGCCUCAGAAACGGCGAGACUGGAGUCCUAGAGAGGGUCGUGGAAUUCCCGGUGUAGCGGUGAAAUGCGUAGAGAUCGGGAGGAACACCAGAGGCGAAGGCGGCGACCUGGAUAGGUACUGACACUCAACUCCGAAAGCGUGGGGAAGCAAACA
rnacentral:rRNA from 1 species